UUUGAGUAAAAUUAUACAGAAUAAAUAAGAAAGAAAAAUUGGCACGAAGAAAAUGGUAGAACUUUGGUCUUUUUGCUUACAACAAUUUAACUCGGAUCAUUCUAAGACCAAUAGCAAUCUAUUUUUCUUUAGAAAAUUUGAUAAUCUUUUUCUAAUUAAUAUACGUGUUGAUAGAACGGUGGAAUAUCAGAAGUGAUCGGAAUGGACAGAGAUUGCUUUGUUUUCCAAAAUUACUCUUUCACAGCAAUGCGGCGUUUUGAUGGGUGCAGCGGUGUUCAGGAUUACAAUGUCUCGCUUCUACACGUACAUAUCACACACGAUACUCAAUACGAUAUAACAAAAUGCAAUAAAAUACAUCUUAAAUAAAUAUCAUAUACACGCAGACUGUAAAUCCAUCUAAGAAAAGGCAGGAUAUCUUAAAGAUGAUGGGAAAAGCGGAACAACGAUGGAAAAAUCAGUGAAAUAC
rnacentral:misc_RNA from 1 species